ensembl:lncRNA
UGAAAUUAUAUCCUAGGUUUUUGGAUCUAUAAAGCUUAAAUAUUAAAAAGUAUCGGUAUCAGUAUCGACAUCGGCCACACUGGCCCUGCGUUUACUUGGUAUCGGAUCGAUACCAAAAUUCCCGGUAUCGCCCACCUCUAACAUGAAUCUAAACAGCACAUGAAGCAGCAGGCAGGUUAUAAUCAGCUGAGCACUGGUGUUUCCCAGCUUUUUACUCGCCCAAACUAGUCUUAGAUCAGUCUUAGCUGUCGAGUGUUUAUAUGGCAGUCAGAAGUUGUGAGCUAUGGAGUGAGCGGAGUACAGCUCUACCUGAUCAAGAGUGGACUUACUCAGAAGAGGAUGAGGCAGAUGUAUCGGACCAGUCGUUAAGUUGGGAUAAGAAUUGUGCAUCACCUUGUAGAUCACCAACUAUUGACAGACGUCUGCCUGAACCACUGAAUGACAGCAUAGAGCAGCUCAGAUCAUGUGAUGAAGACGAAAUGAAUGAAGAGAGUCUGUUUUUCAAUGAGUGCGAUGCUGUGUACAUGUCAGAUGAGGAAGAAAAUCUGCGUUUCUCAGAUAAAAGACCAGGAGAUCAGGAUGCCAUUGCAGAGUGUGUGCUCUCUGUGAAACGCCUGAAGAAGUUGAACACAGAUUUGCAGAAGUCUCUGGAUGUCUCAGAGGACUGUAACUCAGUUCUCAGAGCUGAAAACACUACCCUAAGGAGCCAGAUAAAAAUUCUGAGGCAGUUUGCUCAAGACGAUAGGAAUCGUAAGGUAGAGCUGGACAACCCUCACGCUGCAAAACUUGAGCUAGAACAGAUCUGUAACGCACUUCAGGCCAGCAAAAAGCUCCUUGAGAAGGAAAAUGAAGCACUUAAAGAUGAGAAAGAUGCUACUGCUAGUGAGUUGUCUAAUAUUCUGGCUGAAAAAGAGGUGCACAAGAGAAAAAGUGAGGAAUGCAGUCAACUCCUAAUGGCAUUACAGCAAGAAAUGGAGGAAAAUGGGCUUCAUCAUUCCAGGACAAAGGAACUUAUUCAAGAGAAAGAUGUGUUGAUUCAACAACUUGAAGACACCAUCUCAGAGUAUAGAACUAUUAAGCAAGAUAUGAAAGACAAAAUACAGGACUUGGAAGGCCAGCUGGCUUUGGCUUUAGUUAAAGGGAGUGGAUGUAACUUCAUGGUCAUUGAUAACACAUCGUUAGAUGAUGUUCAGCCCUCUAUCUCUCUAGGAGAAGAGCUUGGCAUUCUGCCAGUCAGCCAGAUGAAUUACAUCAGUCAAGAGGAAGAGACAGAUGAAGGAAAUGACAAAGAAGAGGAAAAUGUAGUAGAGGAAGGGAAGAAAAAUGAAGAAAAUUUGGAUGAAUUAAAAGAAGAAAAAGUACAGUACACAAAAGAAGAUGAGGCAGAGGUCCUCGGUCAGCCACAUUACUUAAGAAGAUGGCAGAUGGAGAGAAAAGAAAAUCUGAAGAAAGUGGCCCAUGCUGCUCGAGUGUUGGGCAUUGGCUUCUUGGUUCCACUUGGAUUGCUUAGAGCACUAUUCCCUGUCCUCUGUAGCUGGGCAGGCCUGAGUUGUGCUGAUUUAGUUUCUCUCACAGCCCGUCGCCUGAUUGAACCAUACUACAGCUUUUAUCAUAUAGGCUUACCACCUUUUUAACCUAACAUAAUGCAAUCCAUAAGUCACGUUAUUUGGUUUCUUUACCAGAUCAGUUGCUUUCAAUGCAAAUGUUUUCAGUGUAAAAUAUUACAACUCUGGUUACUUGUAUUGAUUUUAAUGUUUUCCUGCAGUUAUCUAAUCUUAUAACCUCGAAACGCUGUUGCAGUAGCUGUUCACAUUAAAGUGAUGGUCCACAAAAAGGUUGUGCAGAGAUAUAAAUGGCAUAAAGAUGUUUAUAACUGAGAAAGAAAUAAAUGUAUAUAUAACUUUGUUGUAUUGGGUUUU